CAGCAGAGGAGGAAGUGGUGUGCAGCGGCCUGGGUCUGAGCGAGGGCAGUUCUCAGGGACCUGGUCUCAGUGCCCGGGCUCCAGGAGCGUGGCCGUACUAUCAUCUGGUGGCAUUAUUCCAUGUUUAUAUUCCAUGGAGAUCUAGAUCUUGAUUUGGAAGUUUAUGACAAAAUGAUCAGCAUCUGACUUGACAUCAAUAUUACCAGUGAAGGAUUGUAUUUUGAGGCCUAUGAAUAUUGCUAUAUAUACAUCUACUCCAUUGCUGCUCAUGGUCUGUUACAGUGUGCCUAGAACACAAUUUACUUAUAUUCUCUGCCAUGGAAGGACUUCCACAUUAUCUCAGCACGAGCAAGGCUCUGUGAACAACCUAGACAUGCCCCCUGUUGGAAAAUGCCAAAGGACAUUUAUUUAGGAUCU